UACACAAAAAUGCACAUGCUGUGAGCUCGAUGAGUAGGGCGGGACACGUGGUAUCCUGUCUGAAUAUGGGGGGACCAUCCUCCAAGGCUAAAUACUCCUGACUGACCGAUAGUGAACCAGUACCGUGAGGGAAAGGCGAAAAGAACCCCGGCGAGGGGAGUGAAAAAGAACCUGAAACCGUGUACGUACAAGCAGUGGGAGCACAGAGCAAUCUGUGUGACUGCGUACCUUUUGUAUAAUGGGUCAGCGACUUAUAUUCUGUAGCAAGGUUAACCGAAUAGGGGAGCCGAAGGGAAACCGAGUCUUAACUGGGCGUUAAGUUGCAGGGUAUAGACCCGAAACCCGGUGAUCUAGCCAUGGGCAGGUUGAAGGUUGGGUAACACUAACUGGAGGACCGAACCGACUAAUGUUGAAAAAUUAGCGGAUGACUUGUGGCUGGGGGUGAAAGGCCAAUCAAACCGGGAGAUAGCUGGUUCUCCCCGAAAGCUAUUUAGGUAGCGCCUCGUGAAUUCAUCUCCGGGGGUAGAGCACUGUUUCGGCAAGGGGGUCAUCCCGACUUACCAACCCGAUGCAAACUGCGAAUACCGGAGAAUGUUAUCACGGGAGACACACGGCGGGUGCUAACGUCCGUCGUGAAGAGGGAAACAACCCAGACCGCCAGCUAAGGUCCCAAAGUCAUGGUUAAGUGGGAAACGAUGUGGGAAGGCCCAGACAGCCAGGAUGUUGGCUUAGAAGCAGCCAUCAUUUAAAGAAAGCGUAAUAGCUCACUGGUCGAGUCGGCCUGCGCGGAAGAUGUAACGGGGCUAAACCAUGCACCGAAGCUGCGGCAGCGACGCUUAUGCGUUGUUGGGUAGGGGAGCGUUCUGUAAGCCUGUGA
rnacentral:rRNA from 1 species